UGGGCAACCUGCCCCUCUCUCUGGGAUAACCCCGGGAAACCGGAGCUAAUACCGGAUACUCCGGUCGAACCGCAUGGCUCGAUCGGGAAAGCUCCGACGGUCUGGGAUGGGCCCGCGGCCUAUCAGCUUGUUGGUGGGGUAACGGCCUACCAAGGCGACGACGGGUAGCUGGUCUGAGAGGACGACCAGCCACACUGGAACUGGGAUACGGUCCAGACUCCUACGGGAG
rnacentral:rRNA from 1 species